rnacentral:lncRNA from 1 species
AGUUCAAUCUACCCAGCCUACCACAGCAACAUCUUCAUCUGCAAUUAGUGCUCUAGUUCCAUCCUCAAUUGCAUUGAGUGUUCCAUCUACAUCUGCAAUAAUUGUCCCACAACCUCCACAACAACUAACACAACCUUCUGCUGAGCUUACCUACGGUGCCUAUAGAAGAUAU